rnacentral:rRNA from 1 species
CUACGGGAGGCAGCAGUGGGGAAUAUUGCACAAUGGGCGCAAGCCUGAUGCAGUGACGCCGCGUGAGGGAUGACGGCCUUUGGGUUGUAAACCUCUUUCAGCAGGGACGAAGCGCAAGUGACGGUACCUGCAGAAGAAGCACCGGCUAACUACGUGCCAGCAGCCGCGGUAAUACGUAGGGUGCAAGCAUUGUCCGGAUUUAUUGGGCGUAAAGAGCUCGUAGGCGGUCUGCCACGUCGGAUGUGAAAACUCGGGGCUCAACCCCGAGCCUGCAUCCGAUACGGGCAGACUCGAGUGUUGCAGGGGAGACUGGAAUUCCUGGUGUAGCGGUGAAAUGCGCAGAUAUCAGGAGGAACACCGGUGGCGAAGGCGGGUCUCUGGGCAACUACUGACGCUGAGGAGCGAAAGCGUGGGGAGCAAACAGGAUUAGAAACCCGAGUAGUCC